AACGAACGCUGGCGGCAUGCCUAACACAUGCAAGUCGAACGAGACCUUCGGGUCUAGUGGCGCACGGGUGCGUAACGCGUGGGAACCUGCCCUUAGGUUCGGAAUAACUCCCCGAAAGGGGUGCUAAUACCGGAUAAUGUCUUCGGACCAAAGAUUUAUCGCCUUUGGAUGGGCCCGCGUUGGAUUAGCUAGUUGGUAGGGUAAAAGCCUACCAAGGCGACGAUCCAUAGCUGGUCUGAGAGGAUGAUCAGCCACACUGGGACUGAGACACGGCCCAGACUCCUACGGGAGGCAGCAGUGGGUAAUACUGGACAAUGGGCGAAAGCCUGAUCCAGCAAGGCCGCGUGAGUGAUGAAGGCCUUAGGGUUGUAAAGCUCUUUUACCCGGGAUGAUAAUGACAGUACCGGGAGAAUAAGCACCGGCUAACUCCGUG
rnacentral:rRNA from 1 species